AGACCCGAAACCCGGUGAUCUAGCCAUGGGCAGGUUGAAGGUUGGGUAACACUAACUGGAGGACCGAACCGACUAAUGUUGAAAAAUUAGCGGAUGACCUGUGGCUGGGGGUGAAAGGCCAAUCAAACCGGGAGAUAGCUGGUUCUCCCCGAAAGCUAUUUAGGUAGCGCCUCGUGAAUUCAUCUCCGGGGGUAGAGCACUGUUUCGGCUAGGGGGCCAUCCCGGCUUACCAACCCGAUGCAAACUGCGAAUACCGGAGAAUGUUAUCACGGGAGACACACGGCGGGUGCUAACGUCCGUCGUGAAGAGGGAAACAACCCAGACCGCCAGCUAAGGUCCCAAAGUCAUGGUUAAGUGGGAAACGAUGUGGGAAGGCCCAGACAGCCAGGAUGUUGGCUUAGAAGCAGCCAUCAUUUAAAGAAAGCGUAAUAGCUCACUGGUCGAGUCGGCCUGCGCGGAAGAUGUAACGGGGCUAAACCAUGCACCGAAGCUGCGGCAGCGACGCUGAUGCGUUGUUGGGUAGGGGAGCGUUCUGUAAGCCUGCGAAGGUGGCCUGUGAGGGUUGCUGGAGGUAUCAGAAGUGCGAAUGCUGACAUAAGUAACGAUAAAGCGGGUGAAAAGCCCGCUCGCCGGAAGACCAAGGGUUCCUGUCCAACGUUAAUCGGGGCAGGGUGAGUCGACCCCUAAGGCGAGGCCGAAAGGCGUAGUCGAUGGGAAACGGGUUAAUAUUCCCGUACUUGGUGUUACUGCGAAGGGGGGACGGAGAAGGCUAUGUUGGCCGGGCGACGGUUGUCCCGGUUUAAG
rnacentral:rRNA from 1 species